UGGGGAAUAUUGCGCAAUGGGGGAAACCCUGACGCAGCAACGCCGCGUGAAGGAUGAAGGUUUUCGGAUUGUAAACUUCUUUGAUGAGGGACGAACACAAUGACGGUACCUCAAAAACAAGCCACGGCUAACUACGUGCCAGCAGCCGCGGUAAUACGUAGGUGGCGAGCGUUGUCCGGAAUUACUGGGUGUAAAGGGCGAGUAGGCGGAUAUGAAAGUCAGGUGUGAAAUACCCGGGCUUAACCCGGGGGCUGCAUUUGAAACUUUGUAUCUUGAGUGAUGGAGAGGGAAGCGGAAUUCCUAGUGUAGCGGUGAAAUGCGUAGAUAUUAGGAGGAACACCAGUGGCGAAGGCGGCUUUCUGGACAUCAACUGACGCUGAGGCGCGAAAGCGUGGGGAGCAAACAGG
rnacentral:rRNA from 2 species